rnacentral:misc_RNA from 1 species
GGGGGUGCCCUUUCAUCGGCCAGGUCCCUUUUGACUUCUCUUUUACUUUCAACAAAAUCUUGGCUUAUAGCAGGCGGUGUAUUUUUUUCGACAUCAGUAAUUGGAGUAGCAGCAGUACUAGGUACAGUAACAUUAUAAUCUUUAUCCACGUCAGGGAUAUCAACAUCUGAUAAGCUACCACUCCCACCAUCAUAAGUACCAGUAGCAUCGGCAAG